CCUACGGGAGGCAGCAGUGAGGAAUAUUGGUCAAUGGGGGCAACCCUGAACCAGCCAUGCCGCGUGAAGGAAGAAGGCCCUAAGGGUUGUAAACUUCUUUUGUACGGGGGUAAAGACAGAUACGUGUAUUUGUUUGAAAGUACUGUACGAAUAAGCAUCGGCUAACUCCGUGCCAGCAGCCGCGGUAAU
rnacentral:rRNA from 1 species